CAAAAACAUCUUUUCUUGUUAGUUUUUGAAGUAUGGCCUGCCCACUGACUGUGUGUUGAAGGGCCGCGGUAUUUUGACCGUGCAAAGGUAGCCUAAUCAUUAGUUCUUUAAUUGUGAUCUGGUAUGAAUGGCUUGACGAGAUAUAGGCUGUCUUGGUGGAAUUAGGUUUAUUGAAUUUGGCGUUUGAGUUAAAAUUCUUAAAUGUUUUUAUGGGACGAGAAGACCCUAUAGAGUUUUACGUUUAUUUUGCUUAUUUUGUGUUUGUUUGUAUUAUGUUGUAAUGAUGUGGCGUUUUGUUGGGGUGAUGAGAGGAAUUUUUUCAACUCCUCUUUGGCUUUAGUAUAUUUAUGUAUAUAUAUUUUGAUCCAUUUAUUGUGAUUAUAAGAUUAAAUUACCUU
rnacentral:rRNA from 1 species